UCGAAAAUUAAGUUGCCUUUCUGAUCGAAAAUGUGCGAUGCUGUUGAGUUAUCCAAUGUUAUCCCAACAUCCCAAGCAAAUUCAUUCGCGCAAAAUUUAUUCCCUUGGAAAAUGUCAUCAUCUCCAACUUCCUAUAUUCUUUUCUCAUAAUGAAGGCUUUAUUGGAUAAUAUUACUGCUCUGUUAAUUGGCUUAUGCGUCUUCUUUGUAUUAUUGAUGUUUUAUCGGUUUUGUAAGUUCUGCUGCUGCCCCCCUGACGAAGAUUCCGAAGUUCCCAUUCACAGUGCUAACAUUCUACUAACAUCAUCCCGUCAUACAUCCCCAAGACGGGCAGGUAAUUUUCAUACUCAAGGAACAAGAGAACAAGAACGUCCAAUUGGCUUUACUCAUCCUGCAUUCAAUGGAACAUCUCAAAACGCACUCCCAUCCGCGCCAGUACCAUCGUGUCCGGUAGAAGAUUUUCCGUCAGAACGUGAUACUAGUAGGGAGGUACUACCUUUAGAUCAACCAUCCAGAUAUGAUAUUGAUCCGCCUUCUUAUGAACAAGUAAUGAACAAUGCAACUCUUUACCAGAAACCAUGAAAGACUUAAGAAGUCUAUUGGCCUUAACCUUGGCCUUAAGUUCUCUAUACUUAACAGGAAUUUCCUUCUACAAUAUUGUAUGGAAAUUUUCUUUAAAAAUCACUCUCAAUUGAGAGCAAAGAAAGUUGCUCUCAAUUUGUUGAGAUUUUAAGACCAAAGCCUUCCUUCUCAGUUCCAACAUGACAUGACAUAUAUACCUCUUAAAAUCAGGAUGUAUUCUGUCCUCUUAAAAUUGGACAGAAACCUGUGAUAUUCUUUAAAGUUUAAACAACUGCAUUAAAUGAUAAAAUAUGCAAAGCCUAAUUUAAAUAGUAGAAAACAGUUAUAUGGACUUCAGACUUAAGGCUCAAAUAGACUCAGGCUAAUCCUUGAGAGUAUUUAGCUUGUAAAAUUUGACAGGAAAGAUGUAUCCCAAACUGUCAUACACUGAGGACUUGGAAUCAUCAAUUAAAGGUCCUUUACAUAAACUUCCUUUACCUAACAUUUAUUUCUAAAUUCUGCAGACUAAAUAUUCUCGAGGAUCAGCCUGAAUCUAUUAUGGCCCCUAGCCAUAUGACUUAACAUUUGUGACUUCUUAUCAGUCAAGAUAUUUAGGAUUUUGAGGCCUUCAGGAAAUGAGCUAAAUCUCUAGUCUGAAGACCGUAUUACCGUAAUCACAGUUACCAUAUUAUUUUAAGGAAGAUAAGGAAACCGACGAAAUUGCAAUGCCAUUUUUGUUUUGAUUCGAAACAUUUUAACAGAAUUUUUACCAACAGGUUUAUGAAAAAAAAAUCUGAUCUAAUUUUGGCACUUUAGUGCUUAUGGGUUUUUUAUAGUGAAUUCUACAAAAACUUCAGGGACUUUUAAACUUAUGAUAGGGUCGAACGAAAACUUACUUGCACUUUAAAAACUUUGUAUCGCGGACCUAUUGGCAUUCUUUUUGUACCAUUAAGGCCUCUACACAUUGGGAGCAAUUUUUGACAAAAAUUGCAUUUUUGACAGAAUUUUGACGUUUCUGCCUACAGCACUGCAGCCAAUUUCCUUCAACAAAGCAAUUUUUGACGAAAAUUGUGCUCAAUGUGUAGACACCUUUACUUGAGGUAUGAAAUUUGAAGACCUAUCCUUAUAGGGAAAUGUAGAUUAGUAAAGAAAACAUCACAGGGUAGAUAAUCAAUUUAAUGCCAUGCUCCGUUUAAUGCAACUCCAAAUAAAUUUCUUCUCAAUAUUUUAGCGAUUUUAGCACAUUAGAGUUGCAAAAUCAGAGUAUUUUACGGGGAUUUUGUAAUUCACUUGUAAAAUAUUAAAAUAAUUAAAUAAAAAUAUCAAUUUAUCACAGGUGGCAUUAAAUAUGGCAAGGUAUUAUAUAAGUCAUCUACCCUUAUUACUUGCAUUUUAUAAGAUACAUUAAGAUUAAUUGAAAUACUUUGACGAAACUGCCAACAAGUGUUCCCUGCCGAAUGUGUUCCUUCGACCCUAUAAUAAAUGCUACUAGACAAGGCGGCCAGUAAUCGACUACUCAGCAGAAAAAAGUUAAAAAUCUCACCUAAUUAUGCCUCAGGUUUAAGUUUAUACAAAUCACACUGACGAAUAGAAAUAAAUCUGAGUACCAUCUUUUUAUAUAAGGACAACGGUGUUGCUCUCAUGAAUUAUAGCCGUAAUGUGAAAAUCCUUGAUUCAGUGAUCAUGACUUUUACGCUUUCGAUGUGUUAAUACUUUGGCCUCGAUUAAAUAAAUCUCACUUAA